rnacentral:rRNA from 1 species
ACGUAGGGUGCAAGCGUUGUCCGGAAUUACUGGGUGUAAAGGGAGCGCAGGCGGACUGGCAAGUUGGAAGUGAAAACCACGGGCUCAACCCGUGAAUUGCUUUCAAAACUGCUGGCCUUGAGUAGUGCAGAGGUAGGUGGAAUUCCCGGUGUAGCGGUGGAAUGCGUAGAUAUCGGGAGGAACACCAGUGGCGAAGGCGACCUACUGGGCACCAACUGACGCUGAGGCUCGAAAGCAUGGGUAGCAAACAG